UCACCGGCUCUCCUAAGAGCCACAGAACAACGAUUGUAUUUCAAACU
rfam:Mus musculus chromosome X, GRC primary reference assembly.